UACAGAGGUCCCAAGCGUUGUUCGGAUUCAUUGGGCGUAAAGGGUGCGUAGGCGGCGCGGUAAGUCGGGUGUGAAAUCUCGGGGCUUAACUCCGAAACUGCAUUCGAUACUGCCGUGCUUGAGGACUGGAGAGGAGACUGGAAUUUACGGUGUAGCGGUGAAAUGCGCAGAUAUCAGGAGGAACACCUAUGGCGAAGGCAGCUCGCUGGGACGGUACUGACGCUGAGGCGCGAAAGCGUGGGGAGCAAACAGG
rnacentral:rRNA from 1 species